GAUGAACGCUAGCUACAGGCUUAACACAUGCAAGUCGAGGGGGAAACGACAUCGAAAGCUUGCUUUUGAUGGGCGUCGACCGGCGCACGGGGGAGUAACGCGUAUCCAACCUGCCCACCACUUGGGGAUAACCUUGCGAAAGUAAGACUAAUACCCAAUGAUAUCUCUAGAAGACAUCGGAAAGAGAUUAAAGAUUUAUCGGUGAUGGAUGGGGAUGCGUCUGAUUAGCUUGUUGGCGGGGUAACGGCCCACCAAGGCAACGAUCAGUAGGGGUUCUGAGAGGAAGGUCCCCCACAUUGGAACUGCGACACGGUCCAAACUCCUACGGGAGGCAGCAGUGAGGAAUAUUAGUCAAUGGACGAGAGUCUGAACCAGCCAAGUAGCGUGCAGGAAGACGGCCCUAUGGGUUGUAAACUGCUUUUAUAAGGGAAUAAAGUGAGUCUCGUGAGACUUUUUGCAUGUACCUUAUGAAUAAGGACCGGCUAAUUCCGUG
rnacentral:rRNA from 1 species